AACGUACGCUGGCGGCAUGCCUAACACAUGCAAGUCGAACGAGACCUUCGGGUCUAGUGGCGCACGGGUGCGUAACGCGUGGGAACCUGCCCUUAGGUUCGGGAUAACUCCCCGAAAGGGGUGCUAAUACCGGAUAAUGUCUUCGGACCAAAGAUUUAUCGCCUUUGGAUGGGCCCGCGUUGGAUUAGCUAGUUGGUAGGGUAAAAGCCUACCAAGGCGACGAUCCAUAGCUGGUCUGAGAGGAUGAUCAGCCACACUGGGACUGAGACACGGCCCAGACUCCUACGGGAGGCAGCAGUGGGGAAUAUUGGACAAUGGGCGAAAGCCUGAUCCAGCAAUGCCGCGUGAGUGAUGAAGGCCUUAGGGUUGUAAAGCUCUUUUACCCGGGAUGAUAAUGACAGUACCGGGAGAAUAAGCUCCGGCUAACUCCGUG
rnacentral:rRNA from 1 species